UUACCUGGUUUGAUCCUGCCAGUAGUCAUAUGCUUGUCUCAAAGAUUAAGCCAUGCAUGUCUAAGUACAGGCCGAAACAAGGCGAAACCGCGAAUGGCUCAUUAAAUCAGUUAUGGUUCAUUGGAUCUUACCUUGUUUUACUUGGAUAACUGUGGUAAUUCUAGAGCUAAUACGUGAUACCCCAGCUCCGACCGCAAGGAAAGAGCGCUUUUAUUAGAUCAAAACCAAUCGGGCUUCGGUCCGUUCUCACUGUGGUGACUCUGAAUAACUUUGAGCUGAGCGCAUGGUCUUCGAACCGGCGCCAUAUCCUUCAAGUGUCUGCCUUAUCAGCUUUCGAUUGUAGGUUAUGCGCCUACAAUGGCUAUAACGGGUAACGGGGAAUCAGGGUUCGAUUCCGGAGAGGGAGCCUGAGAAACGGCUACCACAUCUAAGGAAGGCAGCAGGCACGCAAAUUACCCACUCCCGGCCCGGGGAGGUAGUGACGAAAAAUAACGAUGCGGGACUCUUCCGAGGCCUCGCAAUCGGAAUGAGCACACUUUAAAUCCUUUAACGAGGAUCUAUUGGAGGGCAAGUCUGGUGCCAGCAGCCGCGGUAAUUCCAGCUCCAAUAGCGUAUAUUAAAGUUGCUGCGGUUAAAAAGCUCGUAGUUGGAUCUCAGUUCCGGACCGACGGUUCACCGCCCGGUGCUUACUGUCGGCUUCCGAACAGCCGCACGCCGGCUCGGCCAGGGUGCUCUUCAUCGAGUGUCCUGGUUUCGGCCGGCACGUUUACUUUGAAAAAAUUAGAGUGCUCAGCGCAGGCUGCAACGCCUGAAUAAUCUGUGCAUGGAAUAAUGGAAUAGGACCUCGGUUCUAUUUUGUUGGUUUUCGGAACCCGAGGUAAUGAUUAAUAGGAACUGUCGGGGGCAUUCGUAUUGCGACGUUAGAGGUGAAAUUCUUGGAUCGUCGCAAGACGGACUACUGCGAAAGCAUUUGCCAAGAAUGUUUUCAUUAAUCAAGAACGAAAGUUAGAGGUUCGAAGGCGAUCAGAUACCGCCCUAGUUCUAACCAUAAACGAUGCCAACCAGCCAUCCGCCGGCGUUAUUCCCAUGACUCGGCGGGCAGCUUCCGGGAAACCAAAGUCUCUGGGUUCCGGGGGAAGUAUGGUUGCAAAGCUGAAACUUAAAGGAAUUGACGGAAGGGCACCACCAGGAGUGGAGCCUGCGGCUUAAUUUGACUCAACACGGGGAACCUCACCAGGCCCGGACACCGGAAGGAUUGACAGAUUGAGAGCUCUUUCUCGAUUCGGUGGGUGGUGGUGCAUGGCCGUUCUUAGUUGGUGGAGCGAUUUGUCUGGUUAAUUCCGAUAACGAACGAGACUCA
rnacentral:rRNA from 1 species